rnacentral:tRNA from 1 species
GCCUGGUUAGCUCAGUCUGUAGAGCAUGUGAUUAUUGAUCUCAUGGUCAUGAGUUCAAGCCCCACACUGGGUA